rnacentral:rRNA from 1 species
AUUGAACGCUGGCGGCAGGCCUAACGCAUGCAAGUCGAACGGUAACAGGGAUCAGCUUGCUGAUUCGCUGACGAGUGGCGGACGGGUGAGUAAUGUCUGGGAAACUGCCUGAUGGAGGGGGAUAACUACUGGAAACGGUAGCUAAUACCGCAUAACGUCGCAAGACCAAAGAGGGGGACCUUCGGGCCUCUUGCCAUCGGAUGUGCCCAGAUGGGAUUAGCUAGUAGGUGGGGUAACGGCUCACCUAGGCGACGAUCCCUAGCUGGUCUGAGAGGAUGACCAGCCACACUGGAACUGAGACACGGUCCAGACUCCUACGGGAGGCAGCAGUGGGGAAUAUUGCACAAUGGGCGCAAGCCUGAUGCAGCCAUGCCGCGUGUAUGAAGAAGGCCUUCGGGUUGUAAAGUACUUUCAGCGGGGAGGAAGGGAGUAAAGUUAAUACCUUUGCUCAUUGACGUUACCCGCAGAAGAAGCACCGGCUAACUCCGUG